CUUCUCCUCAAUACCUUAAAAGCACCAGAUCUUAUCUGAUCUUGGAAGCUAAGCAGGGUCAGCCCUGGUAGUACUUGGAUGGGAGGCUGCCAACUGAUACCACGUGCUCCAGGCAAUAUUUGGGAAGGAGGAAU
rnacentral:rRNA from 11 species